CUUCCUGUUGGGGAGUAGCUUCCGGCAUCUGAUCGCCGGGGUCGGAUCAACACACUCGCGUUUCGACGCGUGGUCCGACCAGCGGAACCACCGCCUGGCGAGACCAGCGCGUCCCACCACCGCACCGGCCGGGGAGGGAAGCGCUGUUCGUCGCCCGGUGGAU
rnacentral:sRNA from 2 species